rnacentral:rRNA from 1 species
GCCUAAAGCGUCCGUAGCCUGCUUUGUAAGUUUUCGGUUAAAUCCAUAUGCUCAACAUAUGGGCUGCCGGGAAUACUGCACAGCUAGGGAGUGGGAGAGGUAGACGGUACUCGGUAGGGAGGGGUAAAAUCCUUUGAUCUAUUGAUGACCACCUGUGGCGAAGGCGGUCUACCAGAACACGUCCGACGGUGAGGGAUGAGAGCUGGGGGAGCAAACCGGAUUAGAUACCCGGGUAGUCCCAGCUGUAAACUAUGCAAACUCGGUGAUGCGUUGGCUUGUAGCUAGCGCAGUGCCGCAGGGAAGCCGUUAAGUUUGCCGCCUGGGAAGUACGUACGCAAGUAUGAAACUUAAAGGAAUUGGCGGGGGAGCACCACAAGGGGUGAAGCCUGCGGUUCAAUUGGAGUCAACGCCAGAAAUCUUACCCGGAGAGACAGCAGAAUGAAGGUCAAGCUGAAGACUUUACCAGACAAGCUGAGAGGUGGUGCAUGGCCGUCGCCAGCUCGUGCCGUGAGGUGUCCUGUUAAGUCAGGUAACGAGCGAGACCCUUGCCUCUAGUUGCCACCAUUACUCUCAGGAGUAGUGGGGCGAAUUAGCGGGACCGCCGCAGUUAAUGUGGAGGAAGGAAAGGGCCACGGCAGGUCAGUAUGCCCCGAA